rnacentral:lncRNA from 1 species
GGCUAAGAAAUUCUGUUAAUCGAGGGGAAGGUGUUAGACACCCCUUGAUCCCGUGGUUCAACCACGAUCGCUUGAUGAAGAUAUCGACUAAUUUGACACAACGAAUAUAUAAACCACAUAAUACACAUAAAACAAGCAACGAACAAAUUAAUCAAAGUACAGAACCAAAAUAAUGUCCAGUUCGAGUUAUUCAGUCCUAAAAAAUAAAAAAAUACAGAAAUAUAAAUCCUAUUCUAAACUAAUCUUAAACUAGGCUCCAAUGUUUUACCCAAUGACUCAGGCCUUCAUCACGAACCUCCUUUGCAUACAUGAUAUGUCGGGGCAUUCCCCGAAUAAAUUAAUUCAAAUCCCUCGAGGCAUUCUCUGGCCAAAUGAGCACAAUUUUAAUUUUUGUACGAUAAAGUAGAACGAACCAUCCACGCACAUAUUCAAACACUCAACAAAUUUUGAUUCUUAAAUUUGCUUACCCUGCCUAGUGUUUGCCUACUAAUUCACCCUAAAACAUGAUAUUAUCAAUUUUAAUGAUGUCAAAGUUUAUUCUGAAUUAAACCAACAAAUAAUGAAUCAAACUAAACACUAUUCACUUAUGAUUGAUUUCAAUUCUCAAUUCCACCCCAAUCUAAUUUUAAAUCAAAAUUCAAACAUAACAAAUCACACUACUAUUUUCGACAAUUCACAAUCAAUUAUUCAUCACCAACAGAGAUCAACCAACACACAAUAUUCCAUUCAAUAUAUCGAAUAUCACAAAUAAUAAAAUAAAAAUAGAGAAAGAGUAGAAUUGGACCUCAAUUUAUAACUUUCAAACUCAAAUAUCAAUCGAGUAAAAAGACAAAAACCGUGUACGAAUAUCCCGAGUAGAAACCUCAAAGACGAAAAAACUCCAACCUCGGUAAUGAAAAAUUGAAACCUGAAACUGAUUCCGACGAAUCGAUUGAGGCGAAUAGAACCUAAACCCCAAACUGAUAAUAAAGAAGGUAGUGUCCCACAACGGAAAACAUGACAAACACCUAAACUUAACAUUUUCUAAUGAGUUUUCGAAGCUGGCUCAAUCGGAGUUAUUGUUUUCUCAGCGUCGGAGCUCCGGUGAGCUCAGACGAGGAUGAAAGAUAGUGGACGGACCAAAAUUUAGGCAGCAGUGGCAUUUUUCGGUGAAGACUUCGCCGAAACAAUCAGCCCGUGUCUCUUUUCUCUCCUCUCUUGCUUAAGUAUCUCUCUCUCUUCUCCCAAUUUCUUUCCCAAACUCCCUUUUUCGGUGAUGUGGCUGGGUAAUAUUGGUAUGUGAGUGUGUGUUCAUCUCUAUUUUUGGAUCUGUGCAUGCGUGAGCUCUGAGUGACGGUGUAGUCAGUGUGUGCGUGAUGUGUGUUCUCUCGUGGAAAUUAAAGUUGUGCGUGUAAAGCCGUGUGUAUGCGUGUUCUCCUCUGUUGAGGUCUGCGUGUGAGGUGUGUGUGUGAAUCAGUGGUGCGUGAAUAUGUGUAUAAGAAGACAAUGGAGAUAGAGGAGAGUGUAUUUCCUGAGGUAAUGGUGUAUGGGUGAUAAAGUCGGUCUUCAAUGGAAGGUGUGUGUAUGUUGAGUCUGUUAGUAGUGGGGGCCCCAUUCUAUUGUGAGAUCUGUGUGUAUUAUAUAUGUGGGUUUUUUGUCUUGAGCAAAAAUAAAAGAGUCUAUGUGAGUAUUCUGUGUGGUGUAUACAAUGUGGGUCCCCUUUCCAUUUUUGUUGUGAUGUGUUCCUUAUUCCCCUUUUCUGUUAUGUGUAAAAAAACGGGUAAAGGGGUAGGGGUAGGGGUAGGGUAUGGGUUAGGGGGUUGGGUAGGGUAGUGGUGACGUGGGGGUAGGGUGUGGAUGAGGUGUAAAAAUUAGUUAGGAUAAAGAAAUUUUUUGGGAUUGGGGAUUUAAUUUCUUAGGAUUUGUUGUAUUUGUUUUCUUGUGGGGAAAGUAUAGAAUGGGUAAGGAUACGUGGUAAGAUAAACUAAAAAUAAAUAAAAUUUAACUUCGAGAGGGAUAAAAUUAAGUGUCUACAGUACUUAGGUACCAUGCUGGAUUUUCAUUAAGAUUUGUCUUUGCAUCAAGGUUAGUUCUUGGGUCUGUUCUGAUCCUAUUCCAAGUCAAGUAGCAUAUGGCAUAUAAUCUUGGAUGUCGUAGUGUUAUUUGAGUUCUAAGCAGAUGCAUUAGCCAGAAUUAAGGUCCGGUCAUGUUGUAUAGAGCGGAGUGUUGGCCAGUUAAGAAUUCCCACAUCCAAAAAAUGAGGGUGGCAGAAAUGCGGAUGUUGCGCUGGAUGUGUGGGCUGACUAGAGGGGAUAGAUUUCGGAAUGAGACUAUUCGGGAGAAGGUUGGUGUGACUCCAGUGGAGUGNNNNNNNNNNNNNNNNNNNNNNNNNNNNNNNNNNNNNNNNNNNNNNNNNNNNNNNNNNNNNNNNNNNNNNNNNNNNNNNNNNNNNNNNNNNNNNNNNNNNNNNNNNNNNNNNNNNNNNNNNNNNNNNNNNNNNNNNNNNNNNNNNNNNNNNNNNNNNNNNNNNNNGCGGAGAGUGAGAGCAGAUGGCGAGGGCCAGUUGGAGUCGCUAUUGUAGGGAAUUACUUGGUGGGGGUUUUAUUCCUGUUAUGAGUCCGUGUUCCAUGUUUUAUUAUGAAUCUGUGUGCUUUCCUCUGUUUUAUAUUACUUAUGGGUGCCGUAUUUAUGUUAUGUAAUCUUGUGCUGUGCUUUACUAUGUGUUUGUUUAGUAUCUCAUGCCUUGUACCGGGGGUCUAUCGGAAACAGCCUUUCUACUUCUUCAGAGGUAGAGGUAUGGACUGCGUACAUCUUACCCCCAGACCCCACUAGGUGGGAAUACACUGGGUUUGUUGUUGUUGUUGUUGGGUGUUGAUAUACACUGACGCCUUCAUAUUAUUUGAAGUCACGAAUCUCCUUAAGAUAAUUGCUUCUACUAUGUCCAAUAACUAUUAAAUCUAUAUGAUGUUUGCUGCUUUCAUGAUCUUAGAAACCCUUUCUAGCUCUUCUGUGCUAGCAUCAAUUGAUCCUUUGUUUUGAUCAACCUGUCAUACUAUUAUUUGCUAUCCCUGGUUAUCACUGUGGAGCCUUUUCUUUGCAUCCGAAGUAUUAUCUCAACUAUAGAGUAGUACUUGUUUGGUAGUGCACUUUUGCCUGUUGGAGUUGGAAUUGCCUGUUUUCAUAAGCAACUGGUAGUAACUUUCACGUCAUUUUAUGACUCUUAUGUUACUCGAAUAUCUUUUGGUGCUGAAGUGCUUUGCUAUUAGGAAUAUAUUAUAACACACCUUUCUGUCUGAGUUCAAAUUCCUCUUUAUUAUCUAUAAGCGACAUUGCAGGAACUGAUAUGGUUAUGCUAUUGUAGGCUGAUAUUUUCUUGAACUUUCUGCCUAUGGCAAGGUCCGUCAUUGUCAAGAUUUUAGGGGGCGUAAAAUUCAAUGAGUCAUUUUUAUGACUUUAUACUCAAGAAUGGCAUUGUAUACUUCCCCUUGACUAAUUAGACUAUGCUAAGUUGGACUUAUGCUACUUGUUCCUGUAUUAAGUUGCAGACAGAUGGUAACUCAAUUUACUGGAAGUUUAGAUAACUCAAAACUUAUUGUAUCGUUUUCCUAGAGAAUCGAAUUGCUUAAGCAACACCACGUUUAUAGGUUACUCUAUUCUGGAAUUUCAUUGCUUAUGGGAUAUAGGGAUGAUACUCUGGGUGGCUUGAGUAUAGUUUCCAUAUGAAAUGUUGUAUAGUUUAUGUGUGAUGGCAUGGGCAUAUUUCUGUGUGUUGUCUGUUUUGUUCAAUUUGGUUGUUCUUUUUUUUCCAGCUAGUUAGUAAAGAAAAUCAAUGGCAUCAAACGGUCAUGAUAAUG